rnacentral:rRNA from 1 species
CCCAGUGCAAUUCGUUGCACUAUCGUUAACUGAAUACAUAGGUUAACGAGGCGAACCGGGGGAACUGAAACAUCUAAGUACCCCGAGGAAAAGAAAUCAACCGAGAUUCCCCCAGUAGCGGCGAGCGAACGGGGAGCAGCCCAGAGUCUGAAUCAGCUUGUGUGUUAGUGGAACGGUCUGGAAAGUCCGACGGUACAGGGUGAUAGUCCCGUACACCAAAAUGCACAGGUUGUGAACUCGAAGAGUAGGGCGGGACACGUGGUAUCCUGUCUGAAUAUGGGGGGACCAUCCUCCAAGGCUAAAUACUCCUGACUGACCGAUAGUGAACCAGUACCGUGAGGGAAAGGCGAAAAGAACCCCGGCGAGGGGAGUGAAAAAGAACCUGAAACCGUGUACGUACAAGCAGUGGGAGCACCUUCGGGUGUGACUGCGUACCUUUUGUAUAAUGGGUCAGCGACUUAUAUUCUGUAGCAAGGUUAACCGUAUAGGGGAGCCGCAGGGAAACCGAGUCUUAACUGGGCGUUAAGUUGCAGGGUAUAGACCCGAAACCCGGUGAUCUAGCCAUGGGCAGGUUGAAGGUUGGGUAACACUAACUGGAGGACCGAACCGACUAAUGUUGAAAAAUUAGCGGAUGACUUGUGGCUGGGGGUGAAAGGCCAAUCAAACCGGGAGAUAGCUGGUUCUCCCCGAAAGCUAUUUAGGUAGCGCCUCGUGAACUCAUCUUCGGGGGUAGAGCACUGUUUCGGCUAGGGGGUCAUCCCGACUUACCAACCCGAUGCAAACUACGAAUACCGAAGAAUGUUAUCACGGGAGACACACGGCGGGUGCUAACGUCCGUCGUGAAGAGGGAAACAACCCAGACCGCCAGCUAAGGUCCCAAAGUCACAGUUAAGUGGGAAACGAUGUGGGAAGGCACAGACAGCCAGGAUGUUGGCUUAGAAGCAGCCAUCAUUUAAAGAAAGCGUAAUAGCUCACUGGUCGAGUCGGCCUGCGCGGAAGAUGUAACGGGGCUAAACUGUGCACCGAAGCUGCGGCAGCGACACUAUGUGUUGUUGGGUAGGGGAGCGUUCUGUAAGCCUGCGAAGGUGGCCUGUGAGGGUUGCUGGAGGUAUCAGAAGUGCGAAUGCUGACAUAAGUAACGAUAAUGCGGGUGAAAAGCCCGCACGCCGGAAGACCAAGGGUUCCUGUCCAACGUUAAUCGGGGCAGGGUGAGUCGACCCCUAAGGCGAGGCCGAAAGGCGUAGUCGAUGGGAAACAGGUUAAUAUUCCUGUACUUGGUGUUACUGCGAAGGGGGGACGGAGAAGGCUAUGUUAGCCGGGCGACGGUUGUCCCGGUUUAAGCAUGUAGGCGGAGGUUCCAGGUAAAUCCGGUACCUUUUAACGCUGAGGUGUGAUGACGAAGCACUACGGUGCUGAAGUAACAAAUGCCCUGCUUCCAGGAAAAGCCUCUAAGCAUCAGGUAACAUUGAAUCGUACCCCAAACCGACACAGGUGGUCAGGUAGAGAAUACCAAGGCGCUUGAGAGAACUCGGGUGAAGGAACUAGGCAAAAUGGUGCCGUAACUUCGGGAGAAGGCACGCUGAUAUGUAGGUGAAGCCCCUGCGGGUGGAGCUGAAAUCAGUCGAAGAUACCAGCUGGCUGCAACUGUUUAUUAAAAACACAGCACUGUGCAAACACGAAAGUGGACGUAUACGGUGUGACGCCUGCCCGGUGCCGGAAGGUUAAUUGAUGGGGUUAUCCGUAAGGAGAAGCUCUUGAUCGAAGCCCCGGUAAACGGCGGCCGUAACUAUAACGGUCCUAAGGUAGCGAAAUUCCUUGUCGGGUAAGUUCCGACCUGCACGAAUGGCGUAAUGAUGGCCAGGCUGUCUCCACCCGAGACUCAGUGAAAUUGAACUCGCUGUGAAGAUGCAGUGUACCCGCGGCAAGACGGAAAGACCCCGUGAACCUUUACUAUAGCUUGACACUGAACAUUGAGCCUUGAUGUGUAGGAUAGGUGGGAGGCUUUGAAGCGUGGACGCCAGUCUGCGUGGAGCCAACCUUGAAAUACCACCCUUUAAUGUUUGAUGUUCUAACGUUGGCCCCUUAUCGGGGUUGCGGACAGUGUCUGGUGGGUAGUUUGACUGGGGCGGUCUCCUCCCAAAGAGUAACGGAGGAGCACGAAGGUUAGCUAAUCCUGGUCGGACAUCAGGAGGUUAGUGCAAUGGCAUAAGCUAGCUUGACUGCGAGCGUGACGGCGCGAGCAGGUGCGAAAGCAGGUCAUAGUGAUCCGGUGGUUCUGAAUGGAAGGGCCAUCGCUCAACGGAUAAAAGGUACUCCGGGGAUAACAGGCUGAUACCGCCCAAGAGUUCAUAUCGACGGCGGUGUUUGGCACCUCGAUGUCGGCUCAUCACAUCCUGGGGCUGAAGUAGGUCCCAAGGGUAUGGCUGUUCGCCAUUUAAAGUGGUACGCGAGCUGGGUUUAGAACGUCGUGAGACAGUUCGGUCCCUAUCUGCCGUGGGCGCUGGAGAAUUGAGGGGGGCUGCUCCUAGUACGAGAGGACCGGAGUGGACGCAUCACUGGUGUUCGGGUUGUCAUGCCAAUGGCAUUGCCCGGUAGCUAAAUGCGGAAGAGAUAAGUGCUGAAAGCAUCUAAGCACGAAACUUGCCCCGAGAUGAGUUCUCCCUGACUCCUUGAGAGUCCUGAAGGAACGUUAAAGACGAUGACGUUGAUAGGUCGGGUGUGUAAGCGUAGCGAUACGUUGAGCUAACCGAUACUAAUGAACCGUGAGGCUUAACCUU